rnacentral:rRNA from 1 species
ACGGAGGAUGCAAGCGUUAUCCGGAUUCAUUGGGUUUAAAGGGUGCGCAGGCGGAUUGGUAAGUCAGUGGUGAAAUUCUAGUGCUUAACAUUAGACCUGCCAUUGAUACUGUCAGUCUAGAGUAUAGUUGGAGUGAGUGGAAUGUGUGGUGUAGAGGUGAAAUGCGUAGAUAUCGGGAGGAAUACCGGUGGCGAAGGCGACUAACUGACUUAAUACUGACGCUGAGGCGCGAAAGCGUGGGGAGCAAACAG